GACGAACGCUGGCGGCGUGCCUAAUACAUGCAAGUAGAACGCUGAAGGAGGAGCUUGCUUCUCUGGAUGAGUUGCGAACGGGUGAGUAACGCGUAGGUAACCUGCCUGGUAGCGGGGGAUAACUAUUGGAAACGAUAGCUAAUACCGCAUAAUAGCAGUUAUUGCAUGAUAACUGUUUGAAAGGUGCAAUUGCACCACUACCAGAUGGACCUGCGUUGUAUUAGCUAGUUGGUGGGGUAACGGCUCACCAAGGCGACGAUACAUAGCCGACCUGAGAGGGGGAUCGGCCACACUGGGACUGAGACACGGCCCAGACUCCUACGGGAGGCAGCAGUAGGGAAUCUUCGGCAAUGGACGGAAGUCUGACCGAGCAACGCCGCGUGAGUGAAGAAGGUUUUCGGAUCGUAAAGCUCUGUUGUAAGAGAAGAACGAGUGUGAGAGUGGAAAGUUCGCACUGUGACGGUAUCUUACCAGAAAGGGACGGCUAACUACGUG
rnacentral:rRNA from 1 species